rnacentral:rRNA from 1 species
UAGGGAAGUCUUUCCCACAAUGGACGAAAGUCUGAUGGAGCAACGCCGCGUGAGUGAAGAAGGGUUUCGGCUCGUAAAACUCUGUUGUUAAAGAAGAACAUAUCUGAGAGUAACUGUUCAGGUAUUGACGGUAUUUAACCAGAAAGCCACGGCUAACUACGUGCCAG